rfam:Strongyloides ratti strain ED321 Heterogonic genome assembly, chromosome: 2
CCAAAGGCCCUCUUUAGGGCCACCAAUAAAUACAUUUCUUUCUUA